GAUGAACGCUGGCGGCGUGCUUAACACAUGCAAGUCGAACGGGAAUUACUUUAUUGACACUUCGGUCGAUUUAAUUUAAUUCUAGUGGCGGACGGGUGAGUAACGCGUGGGUAACCUGCCUUAUACAGGGGGAUAACAGUCAGAAAUGGCUGCUAAUACCGCAUAAGCGCACCGAGCUGCAUGGCUCGGUGUGAAAAACUCCGGUGGUAUAAGAUGGACCCGCGUUGGAUUAGCUUGUUGGUGGGGUAACGGCCCACCAAGGCGACGAUCCAUAGCCGGCCUGAGAGGGUGAACGGCCACAUUGGGACUGAGACACGGCCCAGACUCCUACGGGAAGCAGCAGUGGGGAAUAUUGCACAAUGGGGGAAACCCUGAUGCAGCGACGCCGCGUGAAGGAAGAAGUAUCUCGGUAUGUAAACUUCUAUCAGCAGGGAAGAUAGUGACGGUACCUGACUAAGAAGCCCCGGCUAACUACGUG
rnacentral:rRNA from 1 species